GACGAACGCUGGCGGCGUGCUUAACACAUGCAAGUCGAACGGAAAGGCCUCUUUCGGGGGGUACUCGAGUGGCGAACGGGUGAGUAACACGUGAGUAACCUGCCCUUGACUUUGGGAUAACUUCAGGAAACUGGGGCUAAUACCGGAUAGGAGCUCCUGCUGCAUGGUGGGGGUUGGAAAGUUUCGGCGGUUGGGGAUGGACUCGCGGCUUAUCAGCUUGUUGGUGGGGUAGUGGCUUACCAAGGCUUUGACGGGUAGCCGGCCUGAGAGGGUGACCGGCCACAUUGGGACUGAGAUACGGCCCAGACUCCUACGGGAGGCAGCAGUGGGGAAUAUUGCACAAGGGGUGGAAGCCUGAUGCAGCAACGCCGUGUGCGGGAUGACGGCCCUCGGGUUGUAAACCGCUUUCGCUCAUGACGAAGCUUUGUGUGACGGUAGUGGGUAAAGAAGCACCGGCUAACUACGUG
rnacentral:rRNA from 1 species